UGCAGUCGAACGAGAUCUUCGAAUCUAGUGGCGAACGGGUGAGUAACACGUAGGUUACCUGCCUCCAGGUGGGGGAUAACUCGAAGAAAUUCGAGCUAAUACCGCAUAUGUCUUCGGAUGAAAACUCCGGUGCCUGGAGAGGGGCCUGCGUCCCAUUAGCUUGUUGGUGAGGUAACGGCUCACCAAGGCUACGAUGGGUAGCUGGUCUGAGAGGAUGAUCAGCCACACUGGGACUGAGACACGGCCCAGACUCCUACGGGAGGCAGCAGUGGGGAAUAUUGGACAAUGGGGGAAACCCUGAUCCAGCAAUGCCGCGUGAGUGAAGAAGGCCUUCGGGUUGUAAAACUCUUUCAUCAAUGAUGAUAAUGACAUUAGUUGAAGAAGAAGCUCCGGCUAACUUCGUGCCAGCAGCCGCGGUAAUACGAAGGGGGCUAGCGUUGUUCGGAAUCACUGGGCGUAAAGCGUAUGUAGGCGGAUCAAAAAGUUAGAUGUGAAAUCCCUGGGCUCAACCCAGGAACUGCAUUUAAAACUAGUGAUCUAGAAAUUGGUAAGGGUUAGUAGAAUUUCCAGUGUAGAGGUGAAAUUCGUAGAUAUUGGAAAGAAUACCAGAAGCGAAGGCGACUGACUAGGCCAUUUUUGACGCUGAGAUACGGAAGCGUGGGUAGCAAACAGGAUUA
rnacentral:rRNA from 1 species